UUACACCGGUGCUCCAUGUGGUUUGACAAAUACUCGUAUAGCCCCUGGAGUGGAUGGGGGUUAGUUUUCUCAGUUAUGUGAAUGUGAAAUGACAAAAUUACCCUUCAUCUUCUUCACUCUAUAAAAACACAACAACCCCACCCCAACCCUACCCACCCCCCACCUUUCUCUCUUUUUCAACGGAGGUAUGGUGGCCGAUCUUCCAAUAUCAAACAUCUCAGGCAAUCUUUGCAUAUUAGGUUUCGUAUCAGUAGCGGUGGUAGAUUAAGAUUCCUUAGUGGUGUCAUGGCGGACGGCUGACUUUGACCGGCAUUCUGAACCUGUUGUUGUACCGAGCACACAACCCAUAGCUUAACCUAAGGAUUGAAAUAACCGUUAACAAUUUUGAUUCUUCUUCAUGCAUUAGGUUUUGAGAAAUUGUAAUUGUAAAUGUGAAGAGAUCUGUUCCGCUGAAGGUGAAGAUUCCGGUGGUGAUUUGCAGUGAGGUGAGAGAAGAAGAAAAAGAAGCUAAAAAAGAAGUCAGAAUUUGAAGUCUUUUUUCUCUAUUUAGAUUUGGAUUUUGAUUCGAGUUAUUUGGUCACUGACUUUUGAAGUGUUUACUGAAUCUGAUGUUGAAAUGGAAAUGUUGCUUGUGGAAAUUUAAUGGUGGUGGUUGUAUCAUGGUGGAGGAUGUUGAGAAUGAAGUAAGUGGUAAUUUCUAGUGCUGUUUUGUUGUGAUCUGAAAUUUGAUAUCUUGAUUAUAAGAUGUGUUUUUCUUGAAAUUAGAUAUGGAUCAAUUGUGAAUUGUACAUCUGAUUACGAAACUCAAUCGGAUCUAGUUAAGUAACUGAUGCAUUGCGUUCAUAAA